GGACGUGGCAGGACAUGCAGGGCGUGGCCAUGGCACGACUCAGCACGUGUCAGGACGUCGCAGGACAUGGCAGGGCGUGGCCAUGGCACGUGUCAGGACGUCGCAGGACAUGGCCAUGGCACGUGUCAGGACGUGUCAGGACGUUGCCAUGGCACGUGUCAGGACGUCACAGGACAUGGCCAUGGCACGGCUCAGGACGUGGCAGGACAUGCAGGGCGUGUCAGGACGUGUCAGGACGUGUCAGGACGUCGCAGGACAUGGCAGGGCGUGGCCAUGGCACGUGUCAGGACGUCGCAGGACAUGGCCAUGGCACGUGUCAGGACGUGUCNAGUCAUCAGCUCGCGUUGACUACGUCCCUGCCCUUUGUACACACCGCCCGUCGCUCCUACCGAUUGAAUGAUCCGGUGAAAUGUUCGGAUCGCGGCGACGUGGGCGGUUCGCUGCCCGCGACGUCGCGAGAAGUCCAUUGAACCUUAUCAUUUAGAGGAAGGAGAAGUCGUAACAAGGUUUCCGUAGGUGAACCUGCGGAAGGAUCAUUG
rnacentral:ncRNA from 1 species